AUUAUUGAGUUAGGGUCCUUGUGGCCCGAACCUCCAACCCUUUGUUUACAUACCUGUUGCUUUGGCGGGGCGUGGGCUUCUGCCUACCGUCGACCCAGGCCGGCGAGUCUCCGCCAGAGACCAACUAAACUCAUUUUAAUAUUGAAGUCUGAGUGAAAACACAAUAGCAAAAAACUUUCAACAACGGAUCUCUUGGUUCUCGCAUCGAUGAAGAACGCAGCGAAAUGCGAUAAGUAAUGUGAAUUGCAGAAUUCCGUGAAUCAUCGAAUCUUUGAACGCACAUUGCGCCCUCUGGUAUUCCGGGGGGCAUGCCUGUUCGAGCGUCAUUAUCACCCUCAAGCUCUGCUUGGUAUUGGAUCCUCGUCCCUCACGGGGCGGGUCCGAAAGAUAGCGGCGGUGCGGCCGGUCCUCGAGCGCAGUAACAACUAUCGCCCAGAUGGACCCGGACGUGCCUGCCGGACAACAAAACCACUUCUAUGGUUGACCUCGGAUCAGGUAGGGAUACCCGCUG
rnacentral:rRNA from 1 species